rnacentral:rRNA from 1 species
AUUGAACGCUGGCGGCAGGCUUAACACAUGCAAGUCGAGCGGAGAGAGGUAGCUUGCUACUGAUCUUAGCGGCGGACGGGUGAGUAAUGCUUAGGAAUCUGCCUAUUAGUGGGGGACAACAUUUCGAAAGGAAUGCUAAUACCGCAUACGUCCUACGGGAGAAAGCAGGGGAUCUUCGGACCUUGCGCUAAUAGAUGAGCCUAAGUCGGAUUAGCUAGUUGGUGGGGUAAAGGCCUACCAAGGCGACGAUCUGUAGCGGGUCUGGGAGGAUGAUCCGCCACACUGGGACUGAGACACGGCCCAGACUCCUACGGGGGGCAGCAGUGGGGAAUAUUGGACAAUGGGCGCAAGCCUGAUCCAGCCAUGCCGCGUGUGUGAAGAAGGCCUUAUGGUUGUAAAGCACUUUAAGCGAGGAGGAGGCUACUUUAGUUAAUACCUAGAGAUAGUGGACGUUACUCGCAGAAUAAGCACCGGCUAACUCUGUGCCAGCCGCCGCUGUAAAAC